rnacentral:lncRNA from 1 species
CUAUAGCUCUGGAGUUUUUGCAGAUUUUCAAAUAAAACUCAGAGAUUCCUUGUAUGACUCUCUAAAUCUCUCUUUUGUGGUAUUUCUGGAUCCUUACCAAGGCAGUGAUGGUAUAUGCCUUCUCUCAAGAUAUGUGGUAUUUGUGGUAUAAGGCAUAGUGAUAUUGCCUUCUCUCUCACCCUACUCUAAUAAGGCUUUAAUAUCUGUAGCUCAUAGGUGGGAGACAGCUAAUACAUACUUACAAGACAUUUAUUGCAUAGUCAAACCAUGGAUCCAGAGAAACAAGUCAAUAAGUCAAAUCAAGAUGUGCAUGUGUGGCGAAUGAAUGGUGUAUGGUGAUGAUGGUAAUAACAAUGGUGGAAGUCUAAUUCUACUUUUGCUCUUUUGAGGGGAUACAUACCUUCCUUGCUUUUUGAAACUUUAUGAGGAGAAUGAGAUGCUCUUCUUUUUCUUUCCUCUCAGGUGGGUAUCCUGUAUCCCUAAUUCUACUGUCGGACACUUGUCCAUUUUUACCUCUUGUCUCACUUUUUCUUUCUUUCGAGGUUCCGGGCAGUUGCCCCUUUUUAUUUCCUCGUUUAUUUUUUUUCUUCUCUUUUCUCUUUUUUUAGAGCACUCAUCUCUUGAGAUAAUAUAGCAAGUGGUAGUAGCAAGAUAACUUGAGCAUUUAUUUCACAAGGGAAAACAGAAAUAUUUUUGGCUAUUCUCUCCCAGAUUAGGAGUAGAAUAUUUUUAGGUGGUUCUGGAGAUGGACAUGGAUGGAUAUAUGUGGAUGGUACUUCCGGAGUAGAAGUAGCAUAUAUGAGUGAAUGUGCAAGUGAAUCUUGAUUUAACCACAUGACAAGCUCCUAAGGGUCUACACAGCUUGACCACACUCAAUGCUAAUAAGCAGUAAAUAAUAAAUGUGUGGCUCAAAGUCUAGCAAGCAUGUAUAUAUGGUUGUGGUAGGAAUUUAAACUCUCAUCAUACAGGAACUCAUCAUGCAAUAUUUUACAGAUUUUUCAAAGAUAAAAUUCUCCAGAAUUCUAGCAUCUAUAGGAACAGAUAAACAGCAGCUCAACCUUCCCAUAUCAUAUCCGUUAACAACUUAGAUUUCAGAUCAAGUUUUCAUUCCACAAGUUUAGAUCUAGAGCAAGCUUUAAAUUAUAACAGUUAUGUCUAAACUUGAGAGAGAACUUCAAAUUUGCAAAUUAGGCAGAGCAACUAUUCAUCAUAUCCAUGCUAGAGUUUUAUUAUUAAGAUUUAGAUUAGCAUAGCCACUUUAUUUAUUUAUUAAACACACUAAGCAAAAGAUAUAUAUAUAAGCACAAAAUCUUUAUUUGGUUUUUCAUAGGUUAUGUAUUUUAAUAUUCUAAUAUAAUAUAAGUAUAGAGAUAGGUAGAAAUACUUAGCGAGAUAAAUGGGGGUGCCCUUCCCCAAGCUGAAUUUUGACGUAAAUUCUCUUGAUGUAGCUAGCAGGUGGCAGAGGUGUAUUUGGAAGUCAGCAGCAUUCCCACAGCGAUUAGAAUGUCCUCCGUCUGCUAGUCUUCUUGAUUCUUAAAUUCUGUGGAGCUCAUAUAGACAACAAAACUUUUGGAACUAAUUAAGUGUUAGCAUAAAUAUCUAGCCUUCAUCAUGUUGAGCUUCCCCAAUAAAUAUUACUCCCUGUUUUUAUAUUUUUAUUUUAUAAGGCAGAAAAGAAAUAUUUAUUUUAUUUUUAUGCCACCACAGUGAAGGUACUUAUGGGUUUUAUGCCACUCGUAUACUCACAUGGGGCUUAGUAUUUUUUAACAUUUUUAUUUUCUUUUCAAGAUAGCAUGAUUAACUAAUAAUCUAUUUAGGGAAAGUAAAUAAUUAAAAGGAAAAGGGAAUGCAGGAAGGAUAAAUAUGGAUAACUACCGAUCUUACCUUUCGGCGAUGGUUCAAUGUUUUAAGUCUUCUUAACAAGACUUCUCACCGUGUUCAUUCUUUAGGUGCGUCAUUUGAUUCAGGUGCAGACCUUGACGUCUGCACCUCUUGAUACGGUGUCACCCAUGUUCUUCGUUUGCCCAGCAGUUCGAAGUGUGGCGUUGGCAGUAACCUACUCAGUGUGUUUGUGCUCGUAGAUCCAGGUCCUUCACUUGGUAGAGUCUGAGAGUUAUAGAACUCCUCCGUGUUUUGCUCGAAGUGUACCUGCUCAUAGAGACAAGGCAGAGAUCAAGUGCAUGGGUCCUGUUGGUGGAAAACACCAACAGAACCUAAAGUGUAUUUGUUCUUCUCUAACCCUAAGCAUAGUGAGCAAGACAAAGUUGAUGGAUGAAAAGUUCAUGAGUGUAGCACUUAUAACAUUUGUCAGAUCAGAUUCGCUCAACCUUAUGGAAAGAUAAUCUAUCUAUGUAUAUGUCUUUUUCUUUAUAUUUGUCAAUGAUUGAAUGUGUAACAUUUUAGCUCAUAUGUUUAGGAGUGUGGGAUCAUGGAGGUUGUACUAAGAACAAGGAUUAAAGGACUAAACAUGUUGAAUCAGUUGGGUUGGUUAGUCUAGAGUUGUAAAUCAUAUAUGUUUGUCUCUUUUAUUUAUAUGAACGCCAAAACCAAGGAGAAGCUUAUAAAAGUGAUAGUCAAGUACCUUAAGAUGUUACCUUGCUUGAAGAGUGAUGGUACAGUAUCACCUUGUGGAAGCUUUCCUUUCUUAGCGGUUGUGCAUCGUGUUUGUGGCACCCUCCAUGGAUCAUCUCUCUAUGAUGAAUGAGCUAUGUCCUUCUUGUGCAAAUUGUUAAACUUCAUGUGUCACUCUCUUCAUCUCUGAUGUGAGUUUAUCUCAGGACUUCCCAAAUCGAUAUUGAAAGUUUUUCUGCAGGGGUUAGUCCGACAAAAAUAUACCAAUGUCUACACAAGCAGUUUUUUAGUUCAAUAACCAAACUAGACUCCAUGUCUAAUCAGAUUAAGGAAGGCUGUUUAACCUAAGCACCAUGCUUAAUUUAAAAGCCAAUAGAAGUAUGUGCAGUACUUCCAAACUAACACUUACUAGUAAAUAGACAAAGGUAACAUGACAACAUUUAUAGAGAUCUACUCAAGUGGAGAUGUAGUAGUGUGAUUAGUCUUUAACAAAUUGAGCAUGUCUUAAAGGUAGGGACAACCAACAUAGCAACAUGGCAAAGGAUGUUUUUAUAUAAAGUACUCCCCCAAGCUUGAAUUUUGCAGAAUUCAAGUUUGGUUGAAUUUAAUUCAAUGUUGUAUGAUGAUUGGUUGGACAUACCUUGUGCUUGUCAUUCAUCUGAUCUUCUUGCUCCAAUCCUGUAAAGGUUAGUGACAAGAAUACCCGAAGGAAUAUUUUUACAAUUAUCCUUAUAUGUUCAAUACACAAGGUAAUGUUGUAAAUGAUUAAAAGCUCAUGUUACGAUUUGAUCAGUGCUUAUUUUAGGACACUAAGCUUGUUCUUGGGAAACCAUCAAUUUAUGUCAGCGAAGUGGUUUCCCUUCCAACGCUGACCUAUAUCAAGAUCAACUCAACGAGAUCUGCAAUAUUUAUUAUAGACAUAUGCAUCGACAACCGCCCUUUUAAAGUUUUUAUAAAUAGAAAGGAAGAGGGGGUUGGAGAUCUCAAAUGUGGUGAUGUUGGAGAGACCAAUAGAUUGGGAAGAUGUUGCAUAUGAGCAUGGAGUAAACAAAGUGGCUAUGAAAUAAAUUCCAUGCUCAUUAAUGUUAUCUUCGUCUCCAAUCUGAAUGUUCAGAGUUUCUCCUGGAUUAGUCUCACCUAUGUCCUCUUCUGUAGCUGGGUGAAUCUCAUCUUCAAAGGGUGUCAAGAACUCACCAUUUGAAGUUGAGCCAAAUUCAGAAUUCAUUAAGGCUUCUUCCUUAUCCAUCCAUUCUACACAUUCUAGCCAGUUAGAACUUGUGAUUAGGAAAGGGGAGGUGUUAGAAUUUUCAAUAUGGCUUAGCUCUCCUUCACUUGAUAUGUCAUCCUCGACUUCUUCAUAACAGGAACCAGGACAUUCUCUAAGAGAACCAUUAUUGCGAGGAUUCAAAUUAUCCUGCUUGAAGGUCUCUUAUGGAACCAGAAGUCUAAACCAUCAGCAUCUGAAAGAUUUAAGGUCGGAAUUCCUUCCUCCCUUGGAGAAUUUUGGGGUAUUGAUGGUUUAGGAUCGAUAGCUAAAGUUUGGAAUUGAAAUGGUUGUGAUCUGGCUAUCGAAACUUCUUCUUCUAGUCUAGGAACUGGUUCUGUCUCUUUCUCAGGGAUAUAAAAGCUAGGAGACUUUCCACUUAAUAAAUCAAUCAAAUUCCAAGCUUCACUAGUAGGUAGGUGAUAGAAGGAUCCUCUAGAGGCUGUAUUCAAGGUUUGCUUAUUUUCCCCACUAAGGCCCUCAAAAAAGUGAAUUAGAAGAACUUCUUCUGGAAUAGAAAGUUUUGGGCCAGUGAGAGUAAGGUUAAUAAAGCGGUCCCAUGAUUUGUCAAGAGAUUCUUCUUCCAGUUGUCUAAAAGAAAUAAUCUCACGCUGAAGUUCCGCCACUUUGGAGAUUGGAAAAUAUUUAGAAAGAAAACUACUAUAUAACUCCUUCCAAUCUCCAUGAACACUCCCUAUUUUGAGUUUGUACCAAUGUCUAGCUUUUCCCGUUAAAGAGAACAGAAAGAGCUUCCAUUUAAGGGUCUCAUCGGACAUUCCUUCUAUGCGAAGGAGGUCACAGACUCGAUAAAACUCUCUUAGGUGUGUGUAUGGGUUUUCAUCACCUUCUCCUGAGAAAGGUUGUUUUUGAACAAAUUCUAUGUAUUCGGGGUCUAUCUCAAAACUAGAUGCUAUGAUAGGCUUUGAAGAUUUUGGUGGUUCGAGAUGUGUGCCCGUAGGUCUAUGAAAUUCAUAGAUAGACAUGUUUGAAUUCAUGAUAGACCAGAGAUCAAGGAUUAGAUAAGAAGAAAGAUUAGCAGAGAUGAGACAAAGGAUAAAAGGAAAAUAUUUUUUUUUAUUUUUUUUAGAAAAUGAUUAAGCUAGUUCGUAGUCAACUCAGCAACCGUUUCCCCGGCAACGGCGCCAAAAAUGCUUGUUGACACUUGCUAACACCAUUUGAAUACUAGGUUGUCAUCCCCAGCAUGGCACUAGAGUGUACUAUGGUAUUUAUACGCACACAGAUAAUCCACAAGCGCACGGAUACCGUUGAAGCUUUUACCCGGUUAAAGGUUUUAUCGUAUCCAUAGGGAAACGGGAGAACUGAUCUACGCUCUAACUUAACCAAGAAAGAUAGAUAAGUGUAAAUAGGAAAGAUGGUAGAAUUGAAUAAGAACAAUAUUAAAGGUAAGAUAACAGUGAGUGAUAAUAUGGGAAUAGAGAGUAGAGCAAUUCUAGUAUAUGGGCGAUGGUAGCAGAAUAGAGAGGAUAACUAUGGUUUCUCUACUUCAAAGGAGUAUGUCUAUGUCUGGGACGAACCACGUGAUAAGAGUACACCACAAAGGAUGCUUAUCCUUAGGCCGAUAAACCCUACCCGUCCUGCUAACGAGAGGUGGACUACAGAGGACCAACGUAACUGUCACCUACGCGGCCUACCACAUGAUCCAGCUAGACAGGGGAUAUCCACAAGUAAUCUAGAUCUAAGCACCUCGCUUACACCUAUACUACAACUUUCACCUAUAGCGUCCUAUAGAUUAAAGUACUCAAAAGAGUUGUGAACCAGAACAUACAAGAUUAGUAAUUGCAUAAUGAAUUAGAAGUAGAUUACCAGAAUCAUCCCAUGAGCAAGCUUGAUUAGAGCUUGAUCAUGACGAAGUACAACCGGAGGAAGAACCGAUAGGCCGGCCUCUCCUCUAAUCCUCCUUCGCUCUCCAUCUUGCUACUAUCUAGAUCUACUCUAGUUUAGAGAAGAGAGGAGAGCUCUCAACUCUAAACCCUAGCUUUUGCUCUGUCAAUGAAUAAUGAAUAAUGAUCGAGGGGUGCCUCCUCCAGGGGCCAGGGGGUCUGGUUAUAUAGUCUUUUCAGAUGAAUCUAGGCCGUCGGAUCAAACCGACAUUGAUCGUGUGGUUUUCCUUGAAGUAUUAGGUCGGUGGAGCAUGAUCCGCGAAGUUGAAGCUGAUUGGUUACUGUAGCUGGGCGGGCACCCAAGGGACUUGGGUGGGCGCCCUGCGCCCGGGCCCGAUCGACCUCCCGUUCGUUCCCGUGGCUUCUGGAGUCUUCUAGAUGGUAGAAAAUUGCGCGACACGUUAAUAUCUCUAUGUAAACCCGACGUGUGGGCCUUUCUUUCAUAUUUCCUGAUAACCCCCUGCAGAAAUAGACAAACACCAAAACUCGUGGAAUUCUGUCGGAUAAAACACUAAGUUUAGAUGUAGGUUGUAUUUGGAUCCUUUUCUUUGUUUAUUUGCUUAUUAUAUUUGUUACUUAAGGACCAUCAACAAUGUACAGGAGUUGAAUUCAGGAAAUGUAGACACCAUCAUCACCGAAGCACCCCGGUAUGGAAGCCUCGAGUAGGCUAGCGCCAUACCCCUAUCGAGGCUUAUUCUAAUGCCUACACCCUGUAACCUAGGUCUCCCCUUGGAACUAUAAAAGAGGAUACUGAGGAUGACACGAGAGGAGAGAUAUACAACGCAACUCACAGAGCACAAUUCUCACACACCACCAUCGGCUAGGACUUAGAACUCUUAGCCACAUCCACUUGUAUUCACCGCUAUACAAGCACUUAGGUGCAAGAUAAUACAAAGUCUCCCCCCACUGGACGUAGGGCCUUCUCUUGACCGAACUAGGAAAAAUCUUUGUGUCUUUCUUGUAUCACCAUCCAGAAAAGGGAGCAUGCACACAAAUUCACUCGUUGGUGUCACCCCCUGGGGGCAAAACACCGACAGUUGGUGCGCCAAGUAGGGGUCCUGCGUGUUACCACCGACUUCCCAUCUCUUUCUGGAUGGCCACUCACGUCUCGCCGAUCCCACGCUCCAUGGUGAUUUGGUUUGGGAGCCUUGAGUUCAUGUCCACUGGCUUCGGCUAUGACAUAAUUCUGCUCUCAAUCAAAGGACCUGGAGAGGCUCGUGUCGCACCCACACGAUCAAAGGCUUCGAGACGGCCUCAACGCCACGCUUCCCCGCCCAAGAGGAGGCGUGGCCAGCAUCGCCACCGCCCCACCGCCGCUACAUGAUCAUCGCCUCAUACGGGACAGGCAACGGUGGAGGAGCCGAUAGCUCCACGUGCCGAGACCACAGUCACAACGGUUAGACACCAGAACAGCCGUGCGACGGCACCAGGGGGCAGCGUACCACACGCACCCUCACCAACAUCUGCGCUGCUACCUCAUGGUCUGUUCGCCACAAGGCAGAUGCUCCCGUUUGGCUUGGGCAAUGCCGCGACGUCGCUCGCCAGGGCAAUAUGUCCAGACGCCGAGACGUGCGUCAAGCGACCAUUGGUCCUCCCACGCAACACAGAGACAUGACAGCAGGCUUAGCUGAGCAUUUAGGUUUUCCCUAGAUACGCGGGCUUCGGCGCCUAGGACCUGGGCGAUACACCAUCGCCACGCUCAGGCAACAGCUGGCGGAGGAGGGGUGCGGAUGUUUCUACACCGCCGAGCCAGACCCCAAUUCUAAAUCCGAUAGCUACGACCCUACCAGGGAAUGCUUCAACAUCGACGGAGCCGUGGCCACUGCGGACGACACGGAGGAUGCCGCUGCCAGUGCCCGUGCUCCCGCUGCAGCGGGAGAUCCCAUGACACCUGGGAAUGACGGGUAGGCACACCCACUGCCUUAGGACGACAAAGCCAUGCAACUUGUGCAGCUAUGAGAGUUGAAAGCCAAGCUAGACGAGGAUCACGAGCACCUCAGCCAGCUCGAGCAGGCCCUCGAGCGAGACCAACCGCACCUGCACGGCGGGGGCGCGCGUGGUCGUGCUCGAGAAGUGUACCGACAGAUUGUCGAGGAUGAAGAACCUGAGCUGCUCGUCAGUCGCUUCCCUCAUGCCAGUCAGAACAUCAUGGCAGCGACCAUGCUGCUACGUAACAUGCCUGAGCCCUUGAACUCCCGGGCACGACCCAUUCAAGACGAGGUGCAGGGUCUGCUCCACGUGGUGGCAGCCCAACAAGCUGAGAGCUCAGCUUCUCGACGUCGAGGGGCAGCCAUGGAAAAGCGCGUUGAGCCAGCCCAAAACGAGAGGGAGGUAUCCGUUCAUCAGGAGCCGUCACCUCGAGGUAAGAAAACAGUACCCAUGCAGGAGUGCCUCAUCGAUAAUCAACGCCUGCACGAUGCUCGACAUGACAUCAACGAGCAUCGACGCUGCAGACAUGGAGAUGUCGAGGAGAGGGGGUAUAGCACCCACCAUGGCGGACGCUACGAUAGUGACAAAAUCGGAUGGCUCCAGAGCCACCGGGCCCUCGAGUCUUCAAUAGGGCGAUCCGCAACACGCCACAGCCAAGUCCGUUCUGACCCCCGACUAGCAUCACCAAGCAUAACGGUGAAACCAAGCCAGAGCUGUGGCUGGCAGACUUCCAGCUUGCAUGCCAGUUGGGAGGCACUCGAGGAGACGAUCGAGCCAUCAUCCGGCAGCUACCGCUCUUCCUCUCUGACACCGCUCGCAGGUGGCUUGAGGAGCUCCCCACCAACCAAAUCCACAACUGGACUGACUUGGUUCGGGUGUUUUAAGGGAACUUCAAGGGGACCUACAUACAACCUGGUAAUUCAUGGCACCUCAGCAAGUGCAAGAAGAAAUCUAGAGGAUCUCUCCAAGAGUAUGCUCGGCACUUCUCGAAGCAACGCACAGAGCUCCCACACAUCCCCAACCACGACGUCAUUCUGGCUUUUGUCUCAGGCACCACUUGUAACGAUUUGGUGCGAGAAUUGGGUCGAAAUCGUCCGCAGACCGUCGACGAGCUGAUGGACGUAGUGGUGAACUACGCCGCUGGCGAGGAGGCGAUCAACGCAUUCUUCAACCAUGAGAACAACAAGGGGAAGGUGCCAGGAGACAACGACGAGGGCCCUAGCAGGGGGCCCAAAAAGAACAAGAAUAAGAAGAAGACGUGGCAGAUCAUGCGGGAGGCCCUUGACAAUGAUUUCAUCGCCGAUGUCGAACGCAAGAAACCUUGAGGCCCCCCAGAGGGGGCCGUCUUCGACAAGAUGCUCAAGGAGCCCUACCCUUAUCACAAGGGAGGGGGCCAAUCACAAGCUCGAGGAUUGUCGCAUGCUGAAGAAGCACUUCGAUAGCCUGGGGCUAAAGAAGGACGACCAGAGGAGGGAUAAAAGCGACGACAAGGGCGAAAAUAAAAACGAUGAGGGGUUCCCCGCCGUCCAUGAUUGUUACAUGAUCUACGACGUGCCUUCGACACAACUCACCUCGAGACAGCGUAAUAGGGAGCGCCGCGUCUUCGCGGCAAGGAUGGCAGUGCCACAAUAUCUCAAUUGGUCGAGCACCCCCAUCACCUUCGACCGCGAUGACCACCUCGACAAGGUUGUCACUCCCGGCGUCUACCCGCUCGUCGUCGACCCCAUCAUCGUCAACACUCAGCUCUCGAAGGUGUUGAUGGACGGUGGCAGCAGCCUUAAUAUCAUCUACCUUGAGACCCUCAAUCUCCUAGGUGUUGAGAGAGCCUAGCUCUAGCCUAGCGCAGGCGGCUUCCAUGGUGUUGUACCAGGGAAGAAGGCAUUGCCGGUGGGUCGAAUCGACCUGCCGGUCUGUUUUGGCACGGCGGCCAACUUCAGGAAGGAAAUUCUCACUUUCGAAGUGGUGGGUUUUCGAGGCACUUACCAUGCCAUCAUUAGACGCCUAGGAUAUGUCAAGUUCAUGGCAAUCCCCAACUACACUUACCUGAAGCUGAAGAUGCCCGGGCCCAAGAGAGUUAUCACCAUCAGCUCCUCUUACGAGCACGCAUACGAAUGCGACGUUGAGUGCAUCGAAUACGGGGAAGCUAUCGAGAGCUCUGCCGAGCUUGCCUCAGGGCUCGAGGCCCUCGCCGCUGAGGCUCUAGAGCCUAAGCGCUGUGCGGGCAGCUUUGAGGCAGCAAAGGGCACGAAGAAAAUCCUGCUCAACCUCAACAGUUUCGACGACAGGGUGCUGACGAUCAGCACCGACCUCGACCCCAAAUAGGAAGCCAUGCUCGUCAACUUUCUCCGUGCAAACGCCAACAUGUUUGCAUGGAGUCCCUCGGACAUGCCUGGCAUACCGAGGGAAGUCACCGAGCACUCCUUGGAGAUUCGAGCUGGUUCCAAGCCUGUGAAGCAACGAUUGCGCCGCUUCGAUGAGGAGAAGCGCAAGAUCAUUGGCGAGGAGGUCCACAACCUUUUGACAGCCGAAUUCAUCAAGGAGGUUCAUCAUCCCAACUGGUUAGCAAACCCUGUAUUAGUUAAGAAAAAAAAUGGGGAAAUGAGGAUGUGUGUCGAUUAUACCAGUUUAAAUAAAGCAUAUCCUAAAGUUCCCUUUCCUUUGCCAUGCAUCGAUCAAAUUGUUGAUUCAAUAGCGAGAUGUGAAACCCUUUUGUUCCUUGAUGAUUAUUCCGGUUGCCAUCAAAUAAUAAUGAAAGAAUCUGACCAGCUUGCGACCUCCUUCAUCACGCCCCUUGGGAUGUACUGUUACAUAACUAUGCCCUUUGGGCUUCGAAACACCGGGGCGACGUACCAACGGUGCAUGCUCCAUGUUUUUGGAGAUCACAUAGGGUCGAUGGUCGAGGCAUACAUCAACGGCAUCGUCGUCAAGUCAAAGAGACAGGGCGACCUGAUUCAAGACCUCGAGAUCGCCUUUGGCUGUUUGCGCACGAAUAAAAUUAAGCUCAACCCCAAGAAAUGUGUCUUUGGCGUGCCUCGAGGCAUGCUUUUAGGGUAUAUAGUCUCCUAGUGCGGCAUCGAGGCUAACCCCGAAAAGGUCUUCGCUUUUGCCAAGAUGGGACCAAUUCAAGACGUCAAGGGCAUACAGAAAGUUACAGGCUGCCUGGCGGCACUGAGCAGUUUUAUUUCAAGGCUGGGGGAAAAUGCAUUGCCAUUGUACCGGCUCCUGAAGAAAGUCAAGCACUUCACCUAGACGAUCGAGGCUGAGGAUGCCCUCGACAUCCGAUCCUGGUGCCUCCUUGACCGGCAAAACCUCUGCUCCUGUACAUCGCGGCAACGACCUAGGUCGUUAGCGCGGCCGUGGUGGUCGAAAGGCCAGAGGAAGGGCAUGCGCUACCAAUUCAGCGGCCGGUCUGCUUCAUCAGCGAGGUGCUCUUAGAGACAAAGGUACGAUACCCCCAGGUUAAAAAAUUUAUUUAUGCUGUGAUUCUCGCCCGACGCAAGCUGCAACACUACUUUCUCGGCCAUCCGAUCGCGGUGGUCUUGUCCUUCCCGCUGGAUGAGAUCAUCCAGAAUCGAGAGGCCACUGGGAGGAUUGCCAAGUGGUCGGUCGAGCUCAUGGGGUAGACCCUCACCUAUGCGCCUCGCAAAGCCAUCAAAUCUCAGUCCAGUUUGUGUGUUUUUUCCCACUGUUUCCAUCAAUUUUUUUCUGAUCGAUUUUGAUAUAUGGAACAUCAAAAUCGGAGUUCGUAUGCGAAAGUUAUGGCUGUUUUACGAACGAACUCCGAAUUAGAGGACAAAACGGUCCGGAAGUAGGAAAAAAUUGUGGUGGUGGCUAGAAAUUGAUGGAAACAGUGUGAAAAACACACAAACUGGAUUCUAACAAGACCUAACCAGUAACAAGACCUCGACUAGGACACAAACUCAACACUACGAACUCUGAAACUGAAAUAUGCAAAGGCUAUGGCGCAGAUGGGUUGUAGGACAUGAAAACAAUAUGGCACUAGACUUAUGGGAUGAAUAUAAGAACACUCAAAACUAAGGGUAGAUGUGAACCUAACGGUAUGUCUGAAGCUUUGAUUACCACUUAAGGAGAACAAGUGUGGCCCGAUCUUCUGAAAGGUUCUCGUAACUAUCGAUUUGGUGGAAACGAGACACAAAUCAAUACAGCUUGCGAACAACAUGACCCGAAACCCUGCAAUUAUUUUUAUUUUUUUGAUAUUUUUCUUUUACUUAGGAGCACUCAAGAAGUAACCAAAGAAAAUUUGAGCUUAAACAAGUGAAAGACGUUGCCUUGUGGAAUUUUUUGAAGAUUGCGAAAAAUAUGAAAAAAAAUUAGGAGGUGAAAACUCAAACUUUAGAGGUGGUUUUUGGGAUUCUAAAUUUAUCGAACCCGCCUAUGGUGGGGAUAGACAGAUCCAAAAUUUUUUUGUGAUCGAUUUUGAUAUAUGGAACAUCAAAAUCGAAGUUCAUAUGCGAAAGUUAUGGCUGUUUUACGAAAGGACUCCGAAUUAGAGGACAAAACGGUCCAGAAGUGGGAAAAAAUUUUGCGGUGAUGGCUAGAAAAUGAUGGAAACGGUUGGAAAAAACACACAAACUGGACUCUAACAAGACCAUAAUAGUAACAUGAGCUCGACCAGGACACAAACUCAAAACUACGGACUCUAAAACUGAAAAAUGCAAAGGCUAUGGCGCGGAUGGGUUGUAGGACAUGAAAACAAUAUGGCACUAGACUUAUGGGACGAACACAAGAACACCGGGGCGACGUACCAACGGUGCAUGCUCCAUGUUUUCGAAGAUCACAUAGGGUCGACGGUCGAGGCAUACGUCGACGACAUCGUCGUCAAGUCAAAGAGACAAGGUGACCUUAUUCAAGACCUCAAGUUCACCUUUGGCUAUUUGCGCACGAAUAAAAUUAAGCUCAACCCCAAGAAAUGUGUCUUUAGCGUGCCUCGAGGCAUGCUUUUAGGGUAUAUAGUCUCCCAGUGCAGCAUCGAGGCCAACCCUGAAAAGGUCUUCGCUGUCGCCAAGAUGGGACCAAUUCGAGACGUCAAGGGCAUACAGAAAGUUACACGCUGCCUGGCGGCGCUGAGCCGUUUUAUUUCAAGGCUUGGGGGAAAAGGCAUUGCCAUUGUACCGGCUCCUGAAGAUAGUCAAGCGCUUCACCUAGACGAUCGAGGCUGAGGAAGCCCUCGACAAACUAAAAAGGACUACCGCUCCGAUCCUGGUGCCUCCUCGACCCGCAGAACCUCUGCUUCUGUACGUCGCGGCAACGACCCAGGUCGUUAGCACGGCUGUGGUGGUCGAAAGGCCAGAGGAAGGGCAUGCACUACCAAUUUAGCUGCCGGUCUGCUUCAUCAGUGAGGUGCUCUCAGAGACCAAGGUACGAUACCCCCAGGUUCAAAAAUUGAUUUAUGCUGUGAUUCUCGCCCGACGCAAGCUGCAACACUACUUUCUUGGCCAUCCGAUCACGGUGGUCUCGUUCGACGCCUCGAUGUUCGAGGUGACUCUCAGCUGGUCAUCGAUCAAGUCAUGAAAGCCUUGAGUUGCCAUGACCCAAAAAUGGAGGCUUACUGCAAGGAAGUACGCAAGCUUGAGGACAAGUUCCAUGGGCUCGAGCUCAUUCACAUCGCACGGCGAUACAACGAAACGACUAACGAGCUUGCCCAGAUCGCGUCCACUCGAGGCACUGUCCCACCAGACACAUUCUCAAAGGACCUGCUUAAACCAUUUGUCGACCUAGGCUCGGGGGCUAGCAUCGAAACCUCCACCGCCGAGCCCACUGACACAAUCGAGGCUCUACUGACGGCAGCAAAGGUAAUGGAGGUCGAGCAAACUCCUCAACACCCCGGUCGACCAUUUAACUGGUGCACGCCUUUCCUCGACUGCCUGAUUCGGGGCGAUUUACCAGAAGAUCAAGCUGAGGCCCGUCGUAUCGCUCGAUGGGCCAAAUCAUGCAUGAUCUAUGGCGAAAGCAAAGAGCUCUACCGAUGAAGCCCAACCGGGAUCUUGUAGCGCUGCAUCACUAUAGAGGAAGGUCGAAAGCUCCUCGAAGAUCUACACUCGGGGGCUUGCAGCCACCAUGCAGCUCCUGGAACCCUCGUAGGCAACGCCUUCCGACAAGGCCUCUACUGGCCAACGGCCGUCGCUGAUUCCAUCGAGCUUGUUCGCUCAUGCCAUGGGUGCCAAUUCUACACCAGCAAACUCAUCUCCCCGCUCACGCUCUACACAUGAUUCCCAUCACUUGGACGUUCGCGGUAUGGGGCCUCGACCUCAUGGGUCCACUCCAAAGGGCGGUGGGAGGAUACACCCACCUGUUGGUGGCCAUCCACAAGUUCUCCAAAUGGAUUGAUGCUCAACCCAUCACAAACAUUUGUUCCGAGCAGGCUAUCCUCUUCUUCACCGACAUAAUCCACCGGAUUGGGAUACCCAACGUCAUCAUCACCGACAAUGGCACACAGUUCACCGACAAAAAGUUCCUGUACUUCUGUGACCGACAUCACAUCCGUGUGAACUGGUUUAUAGUAGCUCACCCUCGGACCAACGGCCAGGUCGAACGUGCCAACGACAUGAUUUUGCAAGGGCUCAAACGCAGAAUCUACAACCGGUUGAAGAAGUUCGGCAAGAAAUGGGUCGAGGAGCUCUCUUUGGUCCUAUGGAGUCUAAGAACAACACUGAGCAGAGCCACGAAAUACACCCCAUUCUUCAUGGUCUAUGGCUCCGAGGCUGUGCUUCCAACAGACCUCGAGUAUGGGUCACCUCGACUCAAAGCCUACAACGAGCAGACAAAUAGGGAGACUCGAGAGAAUGCGGUCGACCAGCUCGAGGACGCUCGAGACAUGGCCCUCCUCAACUCGGCAAGGUACCAGCAGAAGCUUCGACGCUACCACGACAAGCACGUGCGCAUGAGAGGCCUGAACAUGGGCGACCUUGUCCUACGUCAACGGCAGAGCAAUUAAGGAUGCCACAAGCUGACUCCACCCUAGGAGGGCCCAUACAUGGUGGCUGAGGUCUUGAAGCGAGGAACGUACAAGCUCGCGGACGAAAAGGGGGCGAUCUACACCAACGCAUGGAAUAUCGAACAACUACGUCUCUUCUACCCCUAGAGCUUCGAGGCUUUACAUUUUCUUGCACAUCUUGUAUGACCGAUGCCCUGUGAAUAAAUAUGUGAAUAAACGAAAGUACUUUUAUGAGUAAUUCAUAUUAUUACCGGUUAAUCCCGAUGUUAGAGGAAGUCUUGACUAUGACCCAUCAUAGUCAACACUCCCUCGGGGCUAGCAGGGGGAAACCCCCCAGGCUUAAUGUUCUCUUUUCCCUUUCAAACCCUAAGAAAACUUAAUGUUCUCUUUCAAACUUAAUUUUUCAAAAGCUUAAUGUUCUCUUUUCCCUUUCAAACCCUAAGAAAACCCCACACGAUCGAGUAGUAAAGGCGCCUCGAGCCCCUUAAGGGCCGAGGGACGUCGAGCCUGAUAACUCCUACUCCUCCGGGCUAUGGUAACUCUAAUCACACCCUUACCCUCGAGGCAAUCGAAGUCGUCCGAAUGAAAGAUCGAUCGAGGAAGAUGAACUUAGGCAGCAAAGGAAAUAAAGGAAACUCGAGCAUAAAAGUAACAAGAAUAUAUAGAAACUACAAAUCUUAAGGCCGCUCAGGCCAUAAUGUUUAAAGCUAAGUAUAUUACAAUGGGUCUAAGUACCCAGAUCAGGCUCGCAGGCCUUAGUGUUCAUCUCUACCUUCACCGUUGUCUUCCGCGCCCACACCGGUCUCGGGAGAGAGUACCUCUGGCUCGAAUAGCUUCGCCAGCCUUUCACCAGGAACCUCUGCAUCGUCGAUCAAGGCAUGAAGCCUCUCCUCGUUCUCAGCAUCGGUCUUGCAGAUGUCGGUGAUGAAACUGUGGGACACCACCUCCAUAUCAUAGGAGAAGCCCGAGCAGACAACCGCCAUAGCCCGCUUCACCCCAGUAUGGAGUGCGUCCUGCACUCAGUCCUUCAAGGUGGCACCGAGGUAGCACAGCUGGUCGACCAAGGUGUCGCAUCGAGCCGCCUCCCCCGCCUUAUCUAUAGGCUCAAGCUCCCAAGAGGUCGAGAGGUCGUUGAUCGCCGUCCUUAGUCGACCAGUCAAGGCGACCUCCCUCUCAAGCUGAGCCUUAGAAGAUUGGGCGUCGACCUGGGCAGCCAGCAGAUCAUCCUUAAGCCCUAUAGAGAUCAAAAUAGGGGAUCAGAUAACGGAAAAGAAAACGAGAUCCAACAAAUAAAACACAACGAUAUGGAAGACUUACCGUGGAUCUUCUCCUCAAGAGCCAUAUUUUCACCAACCAGGUCGGUGUUGGUCCUCUCGAUCUUCUUAAAGGAAUGGGCCAGCUCCGUCUUCUCGACCCGUAGGUCCUCGAUUAGCUUGCCCGACCCUAGGAUAGCUUCUUCUUUCUCUAGCAGCGCUUUCUUUAGACGAUCAAUGUCGUUAGAAAGGCCGCGAGAGCGGGUUCGCUCUGCCUCGAGGUCCUCAUGAGCCUUCCUCUUGGCCUCCUCUAUGGUGCCUCGAGCGAUUUCACUCUUCAGGAGUGCCUCCUUUACCCUGCCAUAAGCGCUUCGUGCGGCGGCAAGGUCUGACUCGACGAGCCUCUUUCCUUUGUCCAGCUCGAUGGCCUUGUCCUUAUACCGCGCAGCCUCCUCCCAGGCCUUGGCAGCCGCCUCCCCGGCCGAGACAGCCAGCUCCUUCGACUGGGCUGCUUCAUCCUUCACCUUCUCCACAGCCUCUCGAGCAACGCGGGCGACCUCCUCUGCCUGGGAAACCUUACUGUCCAUAUUAGACAAGGUCUUCCGAGCAUCGGUCAGAGCGGCCUCCUUCUCCUUCUUCUCCUCCAGAGCCGUUGUAAGAUCCUUAUAUGCCUUAAGGAGCUUUUCUUGCAACUCGAGGAGUUGAUCCUUGAGAAGAGGGAGCUGCUCUCAACCACCCCUCGUCGCAUGAAUGAAGCCCGAUUUCAGCCGGGAGGUCUCUUUCAAGUCCUGCAAUAAAACACGAGGUGAUAAGAGCCCUAGUUCAAUGAAAAUUCCAAGUAACGAGAGUCUAGAGAUCCUCACAAAGAAAUCCUGGCCUAGGCUGUUGUUGAUGAUGUCAGACAUGAGGCCCACGACAUGCUUCAUCCAGAGACAAAGCUCUUCGAGGUGCUCCCACUUCUCUACCUCCUUCCGAUCGUCCAUCAUGUUAUUGGGCUCGUUCGGAGACGUGGAGGCUCAAAGGCAGAUCCUUCCUGGACCACAGUGCUCGAGCUCUUCCUCCGUGCGUGCCUUGAUGCCCCGGAUAAGCUCUUGCACCAUUUCAAGUGAGCCCCCAUGGCGUAGAAACAAAUCGAUAAGAGAGGGGAAUCGCCCAUUAUCAUCGAUGGACUUCCAGGUCCCGGUCUCAUCUGCCUCGCUGCCGCCAGAAGUCCUAGCUUCAUCUUCCCCACUGGCGCCAGAGGUUCCAGCCACAUCUUCCCAUGGUCACCGACCCUCUAGGAAGGCCGGGGCGAUCCCCUUGAUGCCGUAGAGGGAGCCCUUAAUCUCCGAGCUUGGAUCUGUCGGCGUGCGCAUGGCGAGCGCCAGCGCCAUGAGACCGUCCUCCUGUCGUGGCUCAGCUAGGAUGGUGACAGGGCCCCCAGGACGAAGCCACGAGGGAGUCGCGGGACCGUAAACUGGUGGCUCCUCCUCCCCUGUCUCGGGCCUCUGCCCCUCCUCGAGCUGCUGCUGCUGCGGGUGCUGUGGUUGCUGUUGCUCGGGGAACUCCUCCAACUGUCGCUGCUACAGUUGAAGCUCCUACAGCUCUUGCUGUCAGUGCUGCUCUAGCUGUUCCUCGAGCUGCAAAUGCUCCCCCUGCUGCUCCUGCGCCUCUUGCUGUUGUUGCUGUUGCUGCUCCAAUAGGCGUCGCUGCUCCCCCUCUUCCUCCUGUUUUUUCUUUUCCUCUUCCCUCCUCUUCUAUUGCUCCUCCCUGUUCUUCCUCUUCUUUGUAACACCCUAGGUGUUAACCAUGCACUUAGUCUCAUAAACCCUCUCAUAAGCAUUCUCAUCAAGCAUAGCAUAAGCAUAGCAUCACAUGAGCAUGGCAUUAAUUCAAGUGUGAUUUUAUGUGCUUAAAUUAUAUGAUAAAAAUGGUAUGCUUGUUUCCAAAAUUCUUGUGAUGACCAAAAUAUGUUGAAAUAUAUUUUAGAAUAAUUAAGAAUAAUUUUGUGAACUUUUUUGGAGCUAUAGAAAUUGAGAAAUGGAUUUUAUACAAAAAGUCCCAAAAUGAAUUUAUUUAAAACCUAGAACUAGUUUUGAGUUGUAUUUCAAAUUCUAUUGGGAAUUUGGAAUUUCAGGCUGAAACAAAGUUGUAGAACUUUUUAUUUGUGACAAAUUUUGUUUUGGGGGCCAAAGCUGAAAAAGGUUUUAAAUUUGUGAAGAUGAGUUUGGAAAAUUAUUGGAGAAAAGAAAUUCAAAAAAAAGGGGAGGGGGUAGGCGCGUGGCCCAGCUCAGCCGCGUGGCCCAGCUCCCCCGCCCCUCUCCCGCGCGCGGACGCGUCCGCUUCGCUCCACCCGGCGCUGGCCACGUGGCGACCGUACGCUCAGCCACGUGGCGUCGUGGACACGGUCGGGACGCCACCCCGCGCCUCCAGACGCCCACUCUGUCCCCUCCCCGCUCCCUCUCCUUCUCCACUCGCGAGCGCAGCAGCAGCAGCGACCGCUGCGGCGCCAUUGCUGGCCCAACUCCGCCACUCGCCGCCGGCCAUGUCAGUGAGCCAUUGUCCACGCCAAGGCCAACGACGUGUUCGUCUUCGCCGCGGUAAGCCCCUGCGCACGCUCUACCGAGGUGAAAGCCAUCAGCGAGCCCGCAAUCACCCGUCGGAGUUCACCCGACCUCGUCGGAGUGCUCCGCCGCGCCGAAACCCUCCCGUUUCUGCCUCGUUUCGCUUGUUCUUGAGUGUGUUAGGUUCGGGACGUGGUGAGGAAGCUCAGACGAUCCCCCGCACGCGCUCUACCCCGCCGGAGUGGUCUAGCCAUGGCGAGCAGCGCCGCCGUGCCGCCAUGCAAGCCAGCAGGGGUGCUCCGGCCGUCCUCCAACCAAACCAAGGGUACCCUUGGGUGCGCCUCGCUGUGCUCACCCCGUGGCCGGAGACCUCACCGCCGACGAGAUCCGCUCGUCGGAGGUGCUCUCCCUCUCGGUCACAUUGACCAGUGGGGUCGGGGGCCCACUGUCAGCUGCAAGGGGACCGAGGCGGGUAGAGACCUGGGUGCUCCUAGCGUUUUUCAGUGCGGAAUUGAUAUGGAUUUACAGAAAAUGUUUUCCAGAAAAUGAUUUAAAUGGUAUUAAAUCUAUAUCUUGAGAUGCAUAGCUCCAAAAUUGGUGAAAUAAAUUUUGAUGUGCUCUAUAAUUCUAGAUCUACAGUUUGGUACGGUUGCAUGUCAUAUUUGUACAACUUUUCUGUACAAAUGUAUUUAAUCCAUGUUUUUGCUGAUAAUUAGAAAAUGCAUAGUAAUUAAAAUAUAACUCAGAAAAAUAUGAAACUUGUUUUCUUAGCUCUGCAUGGAUGUUUAGUUUCUAGGAAAAAUAUGUCACAUAUUAUUUGCUGUAUAAAUUAAUUUAUAAUUAUUUAAAUGCUUGCAUGGCAAUGGUUUAUGAUUUUUUAUAAAUAAUUGGAUCAUGCAAUUAAUCUGGAAAUUUUUGUGGGUGUUUCUUAUUAUAGUAAGUAAUUUAUAAAAAUAUGAAAUAUGUUGUUUGACACUUCAUCAUCAGUGGGGUAAUUAUACCUACUAUAUAAAAUAAACUUGUGUUUUUGUGUGGGCUAAACUAUCUGUCCAAAUAUUAUGAAAAAUUUGUGGUAGACUUUAUAUUUGACUAGUGCUCCACUAUAAUUUUUGUGGAAUUUAUUGAUGACCAGAAGUACAUGCUACUGUUGUAGGUCCAAUAAUAAUUAAAUAAAUUAUACCUUGUUGUGUAUGAGAUAAAUAGAUUAAAGGGUGUUUGGUUUAUCUUUGAAGCAUCAUGGUAGCUUGCUGGUUAACCAUGAAAACAACUUGUAGAAGAGAAUGCAAUAGAUGCUUAUUUUGUUUGCAAGUCCUUGGAUGAUGUUGACUACCUUGAAGAAAUAAUCACCUAUGUCGUCUAUGCACCAUGUCAUGAUCACCCUGUCUUCACUUGCAUAAGCAUUGCAAAAGCAUUGCACCCCGGGCAUCUCGCACUCCACUCAUGAGCACACAUGCAUCAUACAGGCUCGCAGGAGAACGAGGUGGGACCCGAGGAGCAGGAGGAGACCCAGGAGUAGGAACUUCCGGGAGGACCAGAGCCGGAAGGAGAGCUGCAGGAGUGCCCGGACCACAGGCCUAGCACAAGAAAGGCAAGCCCCAGAGCAUUCUAAGUCUCCCUAUUCUCGCUAACUUAAUUAAUCUACUAUGGUUGUUCUACUAUGCUGCAUUUAAGUGAUAGGAAUCGCUUGAUACCGUUGAUGCAUAUUUACUCCUUGAUAUCACCACCUGUUUAUCUACCUUGUCCUAUGUAGAUAGGCUCGGAGUCUAUGCUUAGCUUGCUUAGUGUGGUAGAAGUCGGGUGAUUUCCUAUCACCUGCGAGAUAUAGGUGGACACCUGAAAGUUAGCUGUCAAUGCUAUGAUGAAAAAUAACCAAGUGUGGGAAUGAACUUAAGACCGGGCAGGGUCUUAUGGUGUUGUUAGCCGUAGUGCCCCUGCCUGUAUCGAUUAAGGACCGCUCGUUGAUGGCCCACUUGUCAUGUUGAACGCAUGCCCCACACUUAGCUGGAAGGAUAAGUCGUUCCGACCGCGAAGCCUGAACACUAUCCGGGCCAGGAGUCAAGCCACCAUGCGCUGUAUUGGUGAUGGUUGAGGAGAACGACGAGGGCACAACACGCAACCUGCUGGGUAUUUUAAACGCAAACAGAAAAAUUCGUAAGCGCACGGAUACCGAUGUAGCUUUCACCCGGGAGUAUUCCAGAGUAUCGAUUUUCCACAGAGAACGUGAGUGUACUAAUUAAGAAUCAAGAUCGCCCAAGGAUAACUAUAUAAUUAUUUUUGGUGGGAAGUGAGGAAGUUUCGUGAGAGUUCUCUAGUUGAUCUAAGAAUCAAGAAUUACUUCAAAGAUUAUUUAUAUCGGGACAUCAGAGCACUAACCACAGAAAGAGAUGAGAAGGGGGCUAGGAAGGUCUGACUACGGUCCUACAAACACCGAUCCGAACGAGGUGGAAUAUGUCGACCGUUAGGGUUGUCACUACCCUAGGGCUACCACAACAAUCCGCAGGAUUGGGUGCAAUUCCACGUAAUUGCAAGACUAAACACCACGUCGAAUCUAUUAAUUACUACUCUAAUAUUUCAAAGAUUAGAGCACUUGAUGCAAGCGGAAAUCCAAUAAAUAACUUGAAUGUAAAUAAAAGUAAUUAAAGAACUCAGGAAUUAUGAAUUGAAGAACCUGGAGAACGAUGAAGAACGAACCAGUUGCUGCAAAAGUACAAUGUUGAGGAAGAUUCGACAGAUCCGGCUCCUCCUCCGCUCUCCUCUUCUCUCUCCCUAUUUUCUAGAUUACAACUAGAACUAACUAGAACUAGAACUAGAACAAGAACUAGAUGAACUAGAACUAGAUCUAGAUGAAGUAGAUGUAGAACUAGAAGAACUAGAGGGAUCCUCUCUACUUGGAUGAAGAAUUGAAACCCUAACUUUGAUUCUGUAGAAGAGGUAUGAUCUCCAGGGGCCAGGGGGUCUGGUUUUAUAGUCCCUUCAAGUGAAUACUUUGAUUCUGUAGAAGAGGUAUGAUCUCCAGGGGCCAGGGGGUCUGGUUUUAUAGUCCCUUCAAGUGAAUAUGGGCCGUUGGAUCAAACCGACAUUGAUUGAACGGUUAUCCUUGAUCCUUUAGGUCGGUCGAGAUUGAUCCCGAAAGAGAGUCCUGUUUGGACUCUAGGAGGGGGCGGGCGCCCAGGUCAACUGGGCGGGCGCCCAGUGCCUGGCCCCGUUCGGCCUCCACUUCCUUCUCGUGGCUUCUGGAGUCUUCUAGAUGGCAGAAAAUUGCGCGGCACGUUAGUAUCUCUAUGUAAUCCCGACGUGUGGGCCUUUCUUCCGUAUUUCCAGAUAACCCCUGCAGAAAUAAACAAACACCAAAACUCGUGGAAUUCUGUCAGAUAAAACCCUAAGUCUAGGUGUUGGUUGCAUUUGGAUCCUUUUCUAUGAUUAGUUGAUGGUUAAAUGGGAGCAUUAAGGACCGUCAACAAGCUCCCCCAAGCUUAACCUUUGCUCGUCCCUGAGCAAAGAUGAACUGAUGAGUUUCUGCAGUGGUUUUAUGUCUUAAAGAUAUACAUGCGUUCAAACAAGAUCUCAUCUCUAGGUUAGGGUAAACUGUUAAGAUUUAAACUUACUCAGUGUACCUUCCACCAUGGGGCUUGCAACCGUUACUUGUGUCUUGAGCAGUUAAAAGAUAGAACGGUCUAGUCAAGCGCCAUGUCUCUUGUUCUUUGAUUAACUAUAACUCUAGAGUUUUUGCAGAUUUUCAAAUAAAACUCAGAGAUUCCUUGUAUGACUCUCUCUAGUCUCUCUUUUGUGGUAUUUCUAGAUCCUUUCCAACGCAGUAAUGAUAUAUGCCUUCUCUGAAAGUAUGUAGUAUUUGUGGUAUGAGGCAUAGUGACAUUGCCUUCUCUCUCACCCUACUCUAAUAAGGCUUUUGAUAUGUGGAGCUCAUAGGUGGGAGAGAGCUAAUAUAUACUUACAAGACAUUUAUUGCAUAGUCAAACCAUGGAUCCAGAAGAACAACUCAAUAAGUCAAAUCAAGAUGUGCAUGUGUGGCGAAUGAAUGGUGUAUGGUGAUGAUGGUGAUAAUGGUGAAAACAAUGGUGAAAGUCUAAUUCUACUUUUGCUCUUUUGUGGGGAUGUAUACCUUCCUUGCUCUUUUGAAACUUUUGGGGAGAAUGAGAUGCUCUGUAUUUUCUUUUUCUUUCCUCUUAGGUGGGUAUCUUGUACCCCUAAUUCUACUGUCGGACACUUGUCCAUUUUUACCUCUCGUCUCACUUUUUUUUUCUUUUCUUUCGAGGUUCCAGGCACUUGCCCCUUUUUAUUUCCUCGUAUCCUUUUUUCUCUCUUUUUUAGAGCACUCAUCUCUUGAAAUAAUGUAGCAAGUGGUAGUAACCAAGAUAACUUGAGCAUUAUUUCACAGGGAAAAAUAGAAAUAUUUUUGGCUAUUCUCUCCCGGAUUAGGAGUAGAAUACUUUUGGGUGGUUCUGGAGAUGGAAAUGGAUGGAUAUAUGUGGAUGUGUACUUCCGAAGUAGAAGCAGCAUGUAUGAGUGAACGUGCAAGUGAAUCUUGAUUUUAACCACAUGACAAGCUCCUAAGGGUCUACACAGCUUGACCACACUCAAUGCUCAUAAGUAGUAAAAAGUAAAUGUGUGGCUCAAAGUCUAGCAAGCAUGUAUAUAUGGCUGUGGUAGGAAUUUAAACUCUCAUCAUACAGGAACUCAUCAUGCAACAUUUUAAAGAUUUUCAAAGAUAAAAUUCUCUAGAAUUCUAGCAUCUCUAGGAACAGAUAAACAGCAGCUCAACCUUCCCAUAUCGUAUCCGUUAACGUCUUAGACUUUAGAUCAAGUACUCUUCCCACAAGUUCAGGUUUAGAGCAAAUCUUAAUUAAUAACAGUCAUGCCUAAACUUGAGAGAGAUUUCAAUUUUGAGAACUAGUCAUGGCAGAGCAACUAUUCAUCAUUUCCAUGUGAGAGCUUAUCGUGUUGGUUCAUAGCAAACUUUAUUUAUUUAUUUAUUUAGCAAACUAAGCAAAGAUAUAUAUAUAUAUAUAUAUAUAAGAACAAAAUCUUUAUUUAGGUUUUUAUGAUUAUGCAUCUUUUUAUUAUUUAAGUAAAGUAUAAAUAUGAGUAGAAUACUUAGCUGGAUAAAUGGAGGUGCUCUCCCCCAAGCUGGAUUUUGACGUAGUUUCUCCUGAUGUAGCUAGCAGGUGGCGGAGGUGUAUUUGAAUGUCGGCAGCACUCUAACAGCGAUUAGGAUGUCCUCCGUCUACCAGUCUUCUUUGAUCCUUGAAUUCUGUGGAGCUCAAAUAGACAACAAAACUUUGUGGAACUAGUUAAGUGUUAGCAUAAAUAUUUAGCCUUUAUCCUGUCGAGCCUCCUCAAUAAAUGUUACACUCUUUUGUAGGAUCAUAAAUUUAUUUUUGUAAUUUUAUUUUUAUAGGACAGGAAUAUAUUUAUUUCAUUUUUACGCCACCACAGUGAAUGUACUUAUGGGUUUUAUGCCAUUAGCAUACUCACAUGGGGCUUACUAUUUUAACAUUUUUUUUUUCAAGAUGAUAUGAACCUGAUUAACUAAGCAAACUAUUUUAAGUAAUUGAAAGAAAAAAAAAGAUAACUACCAAGUUUACCUCUUGGCAAGGCGUUCGGUGUUUUUAAGUCCUCCGAACGGGACUCUCCAUUUUCUCAGUCGUCCUGGGAUUUGCUGGAUGGCGUAGUCGGUGGUUCCAGCGGCGCCUGGUCUUCAUGUAUAACUAUCUUCUCUCUCCACAUCUGACUCGGUGCUACGGUCUCCUCAGGAUAGUUUUGUUCAAGUUGUAUGUCUUCAGACCUUACAACUUCUCCUUCAUAGUCUGCCCAACUGUCCUUGAUGAUUUGCCUCCUCUGGUUGUGGUUGCGUCGUCUUCUUCUUGUCCUGACCUGCUUAGAGUCUUUAACUAUAUAGUUAGAGUGAGUAAAAUAGCGGCGUACCUUCUCAGAGGGGAAAUGCAUGUGGACUUCUCUGGUUCCAAUGUAGAUGAUUGCUUUAACGGUGUUGAGGAAUGGUCUUCCAAAGAUGACGGGUGGAUAUAAUUCGUCUUCUCCCAUGUCAAUAACCUUAAAAUCAUCUGGAGCUGAAUGUAUGUUGGUUGUAGGGGCAUGGUUCCAUGCAGGAGCUGAUAAGUGACUGCGGCCAUUAUGUUGACGUCAGAUCCAGUGUCGUAGAGUGUCUUCUGAAAAGAAUAUCCGUUGAUUGUGCAUUCAAUGCUUGGAACACCUGGGUCGUCCUUUUUUGUCAGGAAUGGUGACUUAAAUCGACAAUCUUGACCUCCUUGAACUGCAGUGACCAUCUUAGCUAACUUGGUCCACAUUUGCUUGUUCCUGUCCCUCCUGUUGGUCCUCUUCCUUGGUUCAUGUCGGGAAUGCUUUGAGAUUUGUGUAGUCUUGUUCUCGAAGGAAAACGUCUCCUUCCUCCCCUUGAUGUAGAAACUGAUCUUGGCAGCACUAGCAUAGAUGACAGCUCCUGAGGUGUUCAGGAAUGGCCUCCAUAGGAUGAUGGGUGCCCUCCCAUUAGUACCAGUCUCUAUCACCACGAAGUCUGUUGGGGCGUACAAGGUACCAACUCAGACACAGAGGCUCUUCAUUACUCCCUUUGGGAAACUUAGCGUACGAUCUGCAAGCUGCAAACACAUGGCUGUCUAAUAAAGGAUGUGUAAAGAAUUUUUCAUAGAGUACCCUAAGCAUAAUGUUGAGGCUGGAGCCAAAGUCGCAGAGUGCUUCUGGGAAGUCCACUAUGCCGACGGAGAUCGGGAUGACGGGGCGUCCUGGAUUGUCUCUGAGUAGUUUGGCCUCUGUUAAUUCCAACCUUGAUUUUGUCGAGGACGGUUGUAGUAGUAGUUGUUGUUGAAGUAGUUUACGUUCUCAAGCAUCUCAGGGCAGUGAUUGCCUGAGUGUCCAGUAUCUCCAGUGUGUUUUGCUCGUAGAUCUAGAUUCUUCACUUGGUGGAGUCUGGGAGUUGUAAAAUUCCUUCAUAUUUUGCUCGAAGUGUACCUGCUCAUUGUUGGGUAUUUUAAACGCAGAUAGAAAAAUCCGCAAGCGCACGGAUACCGAUGUAGCUUUCACCCGGGAGUAUUCCAGAGUAUCGAUUUUCCACAAAGAACAUGAGUGUACUAAUUAAGAUCCAAGAUCGCCCAAGGAUAACUAUAUAAUUAUUUUUGGUGGGAAGAGAGGAAGUUUCCUGAGAGUUCUCUAGUUGAUCUAAGAAUCAAGAAUUACUUCAAGAUUAUCUAUUUCGGGACAUCAGAACACUAACCAAAGAAAGAGAUGAGAAGGGGGUUAGGAAGCUCCGACUACGGUCCUACAAACACCGAUCCAAACGAGGUGGAAUACGUCGACCGUUAGGGCUAUCACUACCCUAAGGCUACCACAACAAUCCGCAGGAUUGGGUGCAAUUCCAGGUAAUUGCAAGACUAAACACGACGUCUAAUCUAUUAAUUACUACUCUAGCGUUAUAAAGACUAGAGCACUUGAUGCAAGCGAGAAUCCAAUAAAUAACUUGAAUGUAAAUAAAAGUAAUUAAAGAACUCAGGAAUUAUGAAUUGAAGAACUUGGAGAAUGAUGAAGAACGAACCAGUUCCUACAAAAGUAUAAUGUUGAGGAAGAUCCGACAGAUCCGGCUCCUCCUCCGCUCUCCUCUUCUCUCUCCCUAUUUUCUAGAUUACAACUAGAACUGACUAGAACUAGAACUAGAGGAACUAAAACUAGAACUAGAUGAACUAGAACUAGAUCUAGAUGAACUAGAGGUAGAACUAGAAGAACUAGAGGGAUCCUCUCUACUUGGAUGAAGAAUUGAAACCCUAACUUUGAUUCUGUAGAAGAGGUAUGAUCUCUAGGGGCCAGGAGGUCUGGUUUUAUAGUCCCUUCAAGUGAAUAUAGGCCAUUGGAUCAAACCGACAUUGAUUGAACGGUUAUCCUUGAUCCUUUAGGUCGGUGGAGCAAUAUCCCGAAAGAGAGUCCUGAUUGGACUCUGGUUGAGGGCGGGCGCCCAGGAAAGGAGGGCGGGCACCCUGUCCCUGAGUCCUCUCGGCCUCCGCUUCGGUCCCGUGGCUUCUGGAGUCUUCUAGAUGAUAGAAAAUUGCGCAGCACAUUAAUAUCUCUAUGUAAACUCGACGUGUGGUCCUUUCUUCCGUAUUUCCUGAAAACCCCCUGCAGAAAUAGACAAACACCAAAACUCGUGGAAUUCUGUAAGAUAAAACCCUAAGUCUAGGUGUUGGUUGCAUUUGGAUCCUUUUCCAUGAUUAGUUGAUGGUUAAAUAUGAGCAUUAAGGACCGUCAACAAGCUCCCCCAAGCUUAACCUUUGCUCGUCCCUGAGCAAAGAUGAACUCAAGAGUUUCUGCAGUGGUUUCAUGCUUUAACGAUACACAUGCGUUCAAACAAGAUCUCAUCUCUAGGUUAGGGUAAACUGUUAAGAUUUAAACUUUCUCAUUUUUCCUUUCACCAUGGGGCUUGCAACCGUCACUUAUGUCUUGAGCAGUUAAAAGAUAGAAUGGUCUAGUCAAGCGCCAUGUCUCUUGUUCUUCGAUUAACUAUAGCUCUGGAGUUUUUGCAGACUUCCAAAAAAACUCAGAGAUUCAUUGUAUGACUCUCUCUAGUCUCUCAUUUGUGGUAUUUCUAGAUCCUUACCAAGGCAGUAAUAGUGUAUGCCUUCUCUUAAGUAUGUGGUAUUUUUGGUAUGAGGCAUAGUGGCAUUGCCUUCUCUCUCACCCUACUCUAAUAAGGCUUUUGAUAUCUGGAGCUCAUAGGUGGGAGACAGCUAAUACAUACUUACAAGACAUUUAUUGCAUAGUCAAACCAUGGAUCCAGAGAAACAAGUCAAUAAGUCAAAUCAAGAUGUGCAUGUGUUGCGAAUGAAUGGUGUAUGGUGAUGAUGGUGAUAACAAUGGUGAAAGUCUAAUUCUACUUUUGCUCUUUUGAGACAAUACAUACCUUUCUUGCUCUUUUGAAACUUUUUGAGGAGAAUGAGAUGCUCUAUAUUUUCUCUUUUUUUUCUUUCAGGUGGGUAUCUUGUACCCCUAAUUCUACUAUCGGACACUUGUCCAUUUUUACCUCUCGUCUCACUUUUUUUUUUGAGGUUCCGGGCACUUGCCCCUUUUUAUUUCCUCGUAUCUUUUUUUCUGUUUUUUUUGGAGCACUCAUCUCUUAAAAUAAUGUAGCAAGUGGUAGUAACCAAGAUAACUUGAGCAUUUAUUUCACAGGGAAAAACAGAAAUGUUUUUGGCUAUUCUCUCCCGGAUUAGGAGUAGAAUAUUUUUAGGUGAUUCUGGAUAUGGAAAUGGGUGGAUAUAUGUGGAUGCGUACUUCCGGAGUAGAAGCAGCAUGUGUGAAUGAACGUGUAAGUGAAUCUUGAUUUUAACCACAUGACAAGCUGCUAAGGGUCUACACAGCUUGACCACACUCAAUGCUCAUAAGCAGUAAAAUGUAAAUGUGUGGCUCAAAGUCUAGCAAGCAUGUAUAAAUGGCUGUGGUAGGAAUUUAAACUCUCAUCAUACAGGAACUCAUCAUGUAACAUUUUAAAGAUUUUCAAAGAUAAAAUUCUCCAGAAUUCUAGCAUCUCUAGGAACAGAUAAACAGCAGCUCAACCUUCCCAUAUCAUAUCCGUUAACGACUUAGACUUUAGAUCAAGUACUCUUCCCACAAGUUUAGGUUUAGAGCAAAUCUUAAUUAAUAACAGUCAUGCCUAAACUUGAGAGAGAUUUCAAUUUUGAGAACUAGUCAUGGUAGAGCAACUAUUCAUUAUUUCCAUGUGAGAGCUUAUCAUGAGGGUUCAUAGCAAACUUUAUUUAUUUAUUUAUUUAGCAAACUAAGCAAAUAUAUAUAUAUGAGAACAAAAUUUUUAUUUGGGUUUUUAUGAUUAUGCAUCUUUUUAUGAUUUGAGUAAAGUAUAAACAUGAGAAGAACACUUAGCUGGAUAAAUGGGGUUGCUCUCCCCCAAGCUGGAUUUUGAUGUAAUUUCUUCUGAUGUAGCUAGCUGGUGGCGGAGGUGUAUUUGAAUGUCGGCAGCACCCUGACAGUGAUUAGGAUGUUCUCCGUCUGCUAGUCUUCUUUGAUCCUUGAAUUCUGUGGAGCUCAAAUAGACAACAAAGCUUUGUGGAACUGGUUAAGUGUUAGCAUAAAUAUCUAGCCUUUAUCAUGUUGAGCUUCCUCAAUAAAUGUUACUCUCUUUAGAAGGAUCAUAAAUUGAUUUUUAUAUUUUUAUUUUUUUAUAGGACUGGAAUAUAUUUAUUUUAUUUUUACGCCACCACAGUGAAUGUACUUAUGGGUUUUAUGCCAUGAGCAUACUCACAUGGGGCUUACUAUUUUUUAACAUUUUUAUUUUCUUUUCAAUAUGAUAUGAACCUGAUUAACUAAACAAACUAUUUUAAAUAAUUUAAAGGAAAAGGAUAACUACCAAGUUUACCUCUUGGCAAGGCGUUCAGUGUUUUUAAGUCCUCCGAACGGGACUCUCCAUUUUCUCAGUCGUCCUGGGAUUCGCUGGAUGGCGUAGUCAGUGGUUCCGGCGACGCCUCCUCUUCCUGUAUAGUUAUCUUCUCUCUACACACCUGACUCGGUGCUACGGUCUCCUCAGGACAGUUUUGUUCAAGCUGUAUGUCUUUAGACCUUACUACUUCUUCUUCAUAGUCUACCCAUCCGUCCUUGAUGAUUUGCCUUCUCUGAUUGCGGUUGCGUCGUCCUCUUCUUGUCCUGACCUGCUUAGAGUCUUCAACUAUAUAGUUAGGGUUAGUAAAAUAGCGGCGUACCGUCUCAGAGGGGAAGUUCAUGUGGACUUCUCCGGUUCCAAUGUAGAUGAUUGUUUUAACGGUGCUGAGGAACUGUCUCCCAAAGAUGAUGGGUGGAACGUACUCAUCUUCUCCCAUGUCAAUAACCUUAAAAUCCUCUGGAGCUGAAUGUAUGUUGGUUGUAGGGGCAUAGGUUCCAUGCAGGAGCUGAUAAGUGACUGCAGCCAUUAUGUUGACGUCAGAUCCGGUGUCGCAGAGUGUCUUCUGAAAAUAAUAUCCGUUGAAUGCGCACUCGAUGCUUGGAACACCAGGGUCGUCCUUCUUGAUCAAGAAAGGCGACUUGAGUUGACGAUCUUGACCUCCUUGAGCUGUAGUGACCAUCUUAGCUGACUCAGUCCAUAUUUGCUUGUUCCUGUUCCUCCUGUUGGUCCUCUUCCUAGGUUCAUGUCGGGAUUACACUGAGACUUGUGUAGUCUUGUUCUUGAAGGAAAACGUCUCCUUCCUCCCAUUGAUGUAGAAACUGAUCUUAGCAGCACUAUCGUAGAUGACAGCUCCUGAGGUGUUAAGGAAUGGCCUCCCUAGGAUGAUGGGUGCCCUCUCAUCAGUACCAGUCUUUAUUACCAAGAAGUCUGCUGGGGCGUACAAGGUACGAACUUGGACGCAGAGGUUCUUCAAUAUUCCCUUUGGGAAACUUAGUGUCCGAUCUGCAAGCCUGAGCAUAAUGUUGAUGCUGGAGCCAAAGUCGCAGAGUGCUUCUAGGAAGUCCACCAUGCCGAUGGAGAUCGGGAUGACGGGGCGUCCUGGAUCGUCUCUCUUGACCGGCAGAAGGUCAGUAAUUACAUCCACAACGGGGUUACUCCAGUAGUUAUGUCCUCAAGCAUCUUAGGGCAGUGAUUGCCUGAGUGUCCAGUAUCUCCAGUGUGUUUGUGCUCGAGAUCUAGGUUCAUCACUUGGUGGAGUCUGGGAGUUGUAAAAGUCCUUCAUAGUUUGCUUGAAGUGUACCUACUCAUAGAGACAAGGCAGAGAUCAAGUGCAUGGGCUCUGUUGGUGGAAAACACCAACAGAACCAAAAGUGUAUUUAUUCUUCUCUAUCCUUAAGCAUAGUGAGCAAGACAAAGUUGAUGGAUAAUAAGAUCAUGACUGUAGCAUUUAUAACAUUUGUCAGAUCAGAUCGCUCAACCUAAUGGAAAGAUAAUCUAUCUAUACUUAUGUUUUUUUAUAUAUCUUCCAA